rnacentral:piRNA from 1 species
UCUGCACACUGAGCCUCUCCCAUCAACC